AACGAACGCUGGCGGCUGGCUUAACACAUGCAAGUCGAGCGCCCCGCAAGGGGAGCGGCAGACGGGUGAGUAACGCGUGGGAAUCUACCCAUCUCUACGGAAUAACGCAUGGAAACGUGUGCUAAUACCGUAUACGUCCUUCGGGAGAAAGAUUUAUCGGAGAUGGAUGAGCCCGCGUUGGAUUCGCUAGUUGGUGGGGUAAAGGCCUACCAAGGCGACGAUCCAUAGCUGGUCUGAGAGGAUGAUCAGCCACACUGGGACUGAGACACGGACCAGACUACUACGGGGAGGAGGAGUGGGGAAUAUUGGAGAAUGGGCGCAAGCCUGAUCGAGCCAUGCCGCGUGAGUGAUGAAGGCCCUAGGGUUGUAAAGCUCUUUCACCGGUGAAGAUAAUGACGGUAACCGGAGAAGAAGCCCCGGCUAACUUCGUGCCAGCAGCCGCCGUAAGAC
rnacentral:rRNA from 1 species